CGGAGGCAGCAGUGGGGAAUUGUUCGCAAUGGGCGCAAGCCUGACGACGCAACGCCGCGUGGAGGAUGAAGACCUUCGGGUCGUAAACUCCUUUCGAUCGAGACGAAAGACUUCCGGGUGAACAAUCCGGGAGAGUGACGGUACCGAGAGAAGAAGCCCCGGCUAACUCCGUGCCAGCAGCCGCGGUAAUACGGGGGGGGCAAGCGUUGUUCGGAAUUACUGGGCGUAAAGGGCUCGUAGGCGGCCAACUCAGUCGGACGUGAAAUCCCUCGGCUUAACCGGGGAACUGCGUCCGAUACUGGAUGGCUUGAGUGUGGGAGAGGGAUGCGGAAUUCCAGGUGUAGCGGUGAAAUGCGUAGAUAUCUGGAGGAACACCGGUGGCGAAGGCGGCAUCCUGGACCACGACUGACGCUGAGUGAGCGAAAGCCAGGGGAGCAAACGGGAUUAGAUACCCCCGUAGUCCC
rnacentral:rRNA from 1 species